GUGAGCUCUGUGUUCACAGGACAAGCUACAAAGUCCCAGUGCGGAGUGACCACGGAAACCCUGGGUCAAGACAAAGAAGAAUCAGACCUGAUUCCUGUCUUCAAGGACCCUUCGGCCUGAGGUGUCGAUGCAUCCUUCAUCUCCCAUCCAGUGACCUUGAUCACCUUUGCUUUGUUCAGCUGCUUUCCAGCGGUCACUUCCUGCUUGGAGUUAGGGCUAUAGCUGUUGGCAACUGGGGUGUGUAGAAAACCAGAAAGCGAAGAACUGUGGCAAUUUCUGGCUGGGGAUGAAAAGCCCAGUAAACAAAGGGACAGAGUCUUUCAGAGAGUGAUGGCUCAGCACGCAGCGGGGAAAGUGAACCACAAGAAGGGAGGAGAUUCUCAGGGGAGCAAUGUGGCCCAAACAGACAUCUGCUGUGGAUCUUUUAAGACCUUCCUAUGUAAUGUGGCAGGAUCCCACCAAACGCCAAUUCUUGGUUUUCUUGUAUGGACAAUGAGGACAGUGACAUUUGACUGGCUUUUCUCAGAAAGUUCUACUCAACCUAAGUUGAUGUCCAAGACCUUUGGGUACACACAGGUGCAAAGCCAAAGCCCCAGCCCUCAAGAAGCUCACAGUCUCAGAAUGUUGCAAGGCUCCAAAGGCCCAACGUAUGGCCAUGGAAGUCCCGCGGCCACUGAGUGGCUGGCUGUGCAGAACGAGGAAAAACCUCCUUCAUUUUUUACAAGAAAUAGGUGCUUUUUAAAGGACAAGCCUCC
rnacentral:lncRNA from 1 species